CGUGUAGGCGGUUGGUCAAGUCUGGCGUGAAAGCCCGGGGCUUAGCUCCGGAAGUGCGCUGGAAACUAGUCGACUGGAGCGCGAUAGAGGAGGGUGGAAUUCCUGGUGUAGCGGUGAAAUGCGUAGAUAUCAGGAGGAACACCGGCGGCGAAGGCGGCCCUCUGGAUCGUUGCUGACGCUGAGACGCGAAAGCGUGGGGAGCAAACAGGAUUAGAUACCCUGGUAGUCCACGCUGUAAACUAUGGGUACUAGGUGUUCGGGGUGUUGACCCCCUGAGUGCCGACGCUAACGCAUUAAGUACCCCGCCUGGGGACUACGGCCGCAAGGCUAAA
rnacentral:rRNA from 1 species